rnacentral:rRNA from 1 species
AACGAACGCUGGCGGCAUGCCUAACACAUGCAAGUCGAACGAGACCUUCGGGUCUAGUGGCGCACGGGUGCGUAACGCGUGGGAACCUGCCCUUAGGUUCGGAAUAACUCCCCGAAAGGGGUGCUAAUACCGGAUAAUGUCUUCGGACCAAAGAUUUAUCGCCUUUGGAUGGGCCCGCGUUGGAUUAGCUAGUUGGUAGGGUAAAAGCCUACCAAGGCGACGAUCCAUAGCUGGUCUGAGAGGAUGAUAAGCCACACUGGGACUGAGACACGGCCCAGACUCGUACGGGAGGGAGCAGUGGGGAAUAUUGGACAAUGGGCGAAGGCCUGAUCCAGCAAUGCGGGGUGAGAGAUGAAGGCCGUAGGGUUGUAAAGCUCUUUUACCCGGGAUGAGAAUGACAGUACCGGGAGAAUAAGCACCGGCUAACUACGUG